GAUGGUGGUUAGGAAUUUUAAGAUAAUUGUAGAAUCAUCUCAAUUUCAAAAUGUUGGUUCUGCAUUGAAAAUUAUGACUUAUGUAUUGCUUUAAGUUGACAAUUUUGUUUUGGCCUUUUCAGUAUCUCAUAUUCUUUGUAAAUCUGUAACGACUAUUCUUCAAUUACUGGGUUGAACAACAAUAGCUAUCAAAUUACUAGAGGAGAGGCAGUGUUGGAGACAAUAGCUAAAAUCACACAUGACAAGGGCAAGAAAAAUGAUAGUCAAAAGACAAAUGGGACAAGAGCAUUCCAAUUACAGGAUGUUUUUCUCUGGAAAAUGAAGAAUCCGAUGUUACGACGUUGAUUGAUAAAAAUAUGACUGCUUCAAGGUGAUCUAUAGAGUACUAAAGCCUGGCCAACGUUUUUCUACUUAUGAAUGGUGCUUGAACAACUCCUUCGAUCCAAAGAACCAAGAUCACAAAAAAAAAAAAAAAAAAAAAAAAGGUUAUCUUGCUGAUUUUGUCUCCAUUUCUUUUGAUCUUAUACACUUAUAUUGACAAUGUCCAUAUCCAUAGGCUGAAAUUGAGAUUGGCAGUGAGCUUUCAGAUAUCAAGACAUUAGGAAAGUGCCUGGAAGCUUUAUGUAGGUGAAUGCAAUGGUUUCUUAAUCAGAGGACUAAAGAACCAACGAUGACAGUUAGCUCAUACCUAUAAUAUAGUCUUGAACACUUAUGGUGAAUUUUGAGGGUUGAUUUGUGUUGUUGGUAUAUUUACUAAACUUUGUAUUUACCUUCAUAUCAUUUAGACUUCAACUUUAAUUAAGU